GACCUGCGGAAGGAUCAUUAUAGAAUAAAAUUGAACGGGCUGUUGCUCUCUUAUGGUGGUGCACGCCUGUCAUAUUUAUCUCUCCCACUGUGCACAUUUUGUAGACCUGGUGUUUGGGAAUUGCUGUAGUCAGCUUUGCCCUUUGCCCUUGCCAGUCUAUGUUAUUUUAUCACAACCUCUGAAUGUUUUGAACUUUUUAUGAUGGAAAUUAUAUACAACUUUCAGCAACGGAUCUCUUGGCUCUCGCAUCGAUGAAGAACGCAGCGAAAUGCGAUAAGUAAUGUGAAUUGCAGAAUUCAGUGAAUCAUCGAAUCUUUGAACGCAUCUUGCGCUUCUUGGUAUUCCAAGGAGCAUGCCUGUUUGAGUGUCAUUAAAGUUCUCAAAACCCACAUGCUUGUCAUGUGGAAUUUUGGAUAUGGGGGUUUGCAGGCUUUUUAAAGUCGGCUCCUCUGAAAUGUAUCAGUGGUAUCUGUGUGGACUACAGGUGUGAUAAAUAAAAUCUAUGCCUUGCCCCUCACCGUGCUGCUUCUUCUGCNGAGUUGGGAUNGACAAAUUUGACCUCAAAUCAGGUAGGACUACCCGCUGAACUUAAGCAUAUC
rnacentral:rRNA from 1 species